rnacentral:rRNA from 1 species
UACGGAGGGUGCGAGCGUUGUUCGGAAUCACUGGGCGUAAAGCGCGUGUAGGCGGUCUACUAAGUCUGAUGUGAAAGCCCGGGGGCUCACCCCCCGGAAGUGCAUUGGAAACUGGCAGACUGGAGUCCCGGAGAGGAGGGUGGAAUUCCUGGUGUAGCGGUGAAAUGCGUAGAUAUCAGGAGGAACACCGGUGGCGAAGGCGGCCCUCUGGACGGUGACUGACGCUGAGACGCGAAAGCGUGGGGAGCAAACAGG